rnacentral:rRNA from 2 species
AAACCAACAGGGAUUGCCCUAGUAACGGCGAGUGAAGCGGCAACAGCUCAAAUUUGAAAUCUGGCGCAAGCCCGAGUUGUAAUUUGUAGAGGAUGCUUCUGGCCAGCGGCCGUUCUAAGUUCCUUGGAACAGGACGUCAUAGAGGGUGAGAAUCCCGUAUGUGACCGGCGCGCAGCCUUUACGUAGCUCCUUCGACGAGUCGAGUUGUUUGGGAAUGCAGCUCUAAAUGGGAGGUAAAUUUCUUCUAAAGCUAAAUACCGGCCAGAGACCGAUAGCGCACAAGUAGAGUGAUCGAAAGAUGAAAAGCACUUUGGAAAGAGAGUUAAAAAGCACGUGAAAUUGUUGAAAGGGAAGCGCUUGCAACCAGACUUCGUAGCGAUGUUCCGCCGGUCUUCUGACCGGUCUACUCAUCGUCGCGAGGCCAACAUCGUCUGGGGCCGCCGGAUAAGACCUAAGGAAUGUAGCUUCCCUCGGGAAGUGUUAUAGCCUUUGGUGAUGCGGCGCGUCUCGGGCGAGGUCCGCGCUUCGGCAAGGAUGUUGGCGUAAUGGUUGUCAGCGGCCCGUCUUGAAACACGGACCAAGGAGUCUAACAUCUAUGCGAGUGUUCGGGUGUCAAACCCCUACGCGUAAUGAAAGUGAACGGAGGUGGGAAGCGCAAGCUGCACCAUCGACCGAUCCUGAUGUCCUCGGAUGGAUUUGAGUAAGAGCAUAGCUGUUGGGACCCGAAAGAUGGUGAACUAUGCCUGAAUAGGGUGAAGCCAGAGGAAACUCUGGUGGAGGCUCGCAGCGGUUCUGACGUGCAAAUCGAUCGUCAAAUUUGGGUAUAGGGGCGAAAGACUAAU